rnacentral:rRNA from 1 species
UACGUAGGUGACAAGCGUUGUCCGGAUUUACUGGGCGUAAAGAGCGCGCAGGCGGUCGUUCAAGUCGAGUGUGAAAGCCCCCCGGCUCAACUGGGGAGGGUCAUUCGAUACUGAUCGACUCGAAGGCAGGAGAGGGUAGUGGAAUUCCCGGUGUAGCGGUGAAAUGCGUAGAUAUCGUAAGGAAGACCAGUGGCGAAGGCGGGUCUCUGGACAGUUCCUGACGCUGAGGCACGAAGGCCAGGGGAGGCAAACCGGGG